GUCUUUGUCUGAUGAUGUCAUAUGCCUUGGACUCAACGAACGUUAUCGUUACACACUGGAUCGGAAAGUUAUGGUGAUCUGCACUGGUUUCAAACCUCUUUAACUUAAGCUUCAAGUUGGCUUUUGAAAGCAUCGUUGUUUUAACCUUCUUCAUCAACACCAUGAAAAGUGAACUGGAACUUGUGGUCUGCGUGAUUUGUUGAACUAGAAGACCAUGGAAAAAUGGCGGAGAUAUUCCCAAGUCACUUCUGAUUGUGCUGAGAGCUCAACAGUGGCAAACUUUGACAAAUUGACAUUCGCCAGUUGGCCUCAUUAAAUUCCAUUGCUGUCUGCCUAAUAAUGUCAGUGACCAAGAUUGCAGAUGGUCUCCUUGAUAUCCAGGAAGUCCAGGAGGUAGCUUCCGGUUUUGACCAUCGAGAGGAACUGGACAACUGUGUUAACUCCACUGGCGUUGGGACAGGAUUCCUCUGUCUGAUGCAGCUGAAAGUGUUCUCCAGGCAAUCCUCGUACAAGCUACUGUUGAGAAUGCACUUCUGUACCUGGCUUACUUCCAGGAUUAAUGUUGCAGCAGUCACCACUACGUUUUGAACUGGUAUCCAGCUGCCCUUGUGACCAAUCUUCAGGCCACGAAAAAGAUGGAAGGUGUCCCAAUGCAAGUUUAUGGCUUUCUCUAACUCAUUCUCUUUCAAUCUGCUUAGGGCAAUUACGACAAGGUCGAACCGGUGGUCUACUUCCUCAAGGAACCAUGAUGUUUUCAGGGAGGACUGUGACCGUUUCUCCUCCUCAACCAGGUGUUUCAGGACAGCACUGGUCACUCUACUAAAGACGUGCAUGGCAGGUUGGACACUGAAAUGGGAGUGGGUUGGCAGUCAUGAAGGAUAAAUGAGUAUGGUUGUCUCUGUGUUAAUGGCCGUUCACAUCAGGAACGAUUACUAUAAUAAGUAUCCUCACUGACCAAUUAAGAAAAGUCUGUCCUUGAAUAUGAUAGCUAAAAUGUUAUGGAUUUUGGUUGGCUGUCAGCUUUGUACUGUUCUCAACAUCGCUCAGAAAGUCAUCCCCAACAACAUCUGUCUUCAUGUUAUCGUUACAGUUUAUGUGUGGAUGUAAGGUGGUUGGCUGUGUGUGGUGGGUCUUGCUGGAGAUGGCCUCUUGCUUUGGUCUAUGGUUAUGACUUAAUGUGGCAGCUGUGAAUGUGAAGUUGUUCCAAGUAUAAACUGAAUGUGACCUACUCUGUUCUCUCCCUCCAUUCUC